AUUGAACGCUGGCGGCGUGCUUAAUACAUGCAAGUCGAGCGGUAACAGGUGUAGCAAUACAUGCUGACGAGCGGCGAACGGGUGAGUAAUGCUUCGGAAUCUGCCUAGUAGUGGGGAAUAACUAACCGAAAGGUUAGCUAAUGCCGCAUACGACCUAUGGGUGAAAGCGGGGGAUCGUAAGACCUCGCGCUAUUAGAUGAGCCGAAGUCGGAUUAGCUAGUUGGUGAGGUAACGGCUCACCAAGGCGACAAUCCGUAGCUGGUCUGAGAG
rnacentral:rRNA from 1 species